GCCAGGGUGGCAGAGAGGCUAUGCAGUCGGCUGCAGACCGACUUACCUCGGUUCAAAUCCGGGCCCUGGCU
rnacentral:tRNA from 2 species